GCCCUUAACGCGAAGAACCUUACCAAGGCUUGACAUGGACCGGACCGCCGCAGAAAUGUGGUUUCCCCUUUGGGGCUGGUUUACAGGUGGUGCAUGGUUGUCGUCAGCUCGUGUCGUGAGAUGUUGGGUUAAGUCCCGCAACGAGCGCAACCCUCGUUCUAUGUUGCCAGCACGUGAUGGUGGGGACUCAUAGGAGACUGCCGGGGUCAACUCGGAGGAAGGUGGGGACGACGUCAAAUCAUCAUGCCCCUUAUGUCUUGGGCUUCACGCAUGCUACAAUGGCCGGUACAAAGGGUUGCGAUACUGUGAGGUGGAGCUAAUCCCAAAAAGCCGGUCUCAGUUCGGAUUGGGGUCUGCAACUCGACCCCAUGAAGUCGGAGUCGCUAGUAAUCGCAGAUCAGCAACGCUGCGGUGAAUACGUUCCCGGGCCUUGUACACACCGAAGGGC
rnacentral:rRNA from 1 species